rnacentral:rRNA from 1 species
AUUGAACGCUGGCGGCAGGCCUAACACAUGCAAGUCGGACGGUAGCACAGAGAGCUUGCUCUUGGGUGACGAGUGGCGGACGGGUGAGUAAUGUCUGGGGAUCUGCCCGAUAGAGGGGGAUAACCACUGGAAACGGUGGCUAAUACCGCAUAACGUCGCAAGACCAAAGAGGGGGACCUUCGGGCCUCUCACUAUCGGAUGAACCCAGAUGGGAUUAGCUAGUAGGCGGGGUAAUGGCCCACCUAGGCGACGAUCCCUAGCUGGUCUGAGAGGAUGGCCAGCCACACUGGAACUGAGACAAGGGCCAGACUCCUACGGGAGGCAGCAGUGGGGAAUAUUGCACAAUGGGCGCAAGCCUGAUGCAACCAUGCCGCGUGUAUGAAGAAGGCCUUCGGGUUGUAAAGUACUUUCAGCGGGGAGGAAGGCGACGCGGUUAAUAACCGCGUCGAUUGACGUUACCCGCAGAAGAGGCACCGGCUAACUCCGUGCCAGCAGCCGCCGUAA